rnacentral:rRNA from 1 species
GCGUGGGUGAAGAAGGUCUUCGGAUUGUAAAGCCCUUUCGGCGGGGACGAUGAUGACGGUACCCGCAGAAGAAGCCCCGGCUAACUUCGUGCCAGCAGCCGCGGUAAUACGAAGGGGGCUAGCGUUGCUCGGAAUUACUGGGCGUAAAGGGCGCGUAGGCGGCCGGAUUAGUCAGGCGUGAAAGCCCUGGGCUCAACCUGGGGACUGCGCUUGAUACGGUUUGGCUUGAGGGCAGGAGAGGCUCGCGGAAUUCCCAGUGUAGAGGUGAAAUUCGU